UUGUGGCUCAGACUAGGGGACUGGUAGCAGAGAUGUAGAGAAGUGGACAGAUUUGGAAUAUAUUUUAGAGGUAGUGUAUUUUAGGUGAUGGAUAGGAUAUAGAGGGCAGGAAAAAGAGAAGAAUAAGAAAUGACUCAUAGAUAUUUGGUUUGUGCAUUCAGGUGGAGAGUGGCACCAUUCAUCGUGAUUAGGAAGCACUGAGGAGGACUAGUAUGGCUGCUGACAAUCGCUAAUCUUCUUUUUGUCUCUGUGGAUUCGCAUAGUCUGGACAUUUUAUGUGAAUGUGAUCAUAUGGUUUUAAUUAGCUACCUAAAUUCUUGUUUGAAAUGCUGAAUUCCAAUGAGGGAUCAUUUUGGUCUACUGAGAAGAACACUGUGAUACCCAGGGACAACUGUAUCUGCUAUGUGACAAGCAAUGUUCUAUGUGUUGAGAUACAGUGAUGAAAAGAUAAGAUGAAUCCCUGCUGUCACUGAGUUUACUUCCUAUUGGGGGAGAUAGUCAACACAUACACAAGGAAUGCAAUUGCUCAUCGCAAUGUGUUUUGAAGAAGAUAAAAAAAGGAGAAAUUGACUGAAAGGUGAUCACAGGUGGAUUCUCUGAAGAAUUGACAUUGAAGAUGAGUCUAUAAUGACUCAGUAGUCAACCUGUGAAAAUUAUGAAGAAAGAGAAUGUCAGAAAGAAGUGUUGCAGAAUCACAUGUAGAAUUGAUCUGCAGACUGGCAGCUGGAUAAAGAGACUGAGAAGAGAGAGAGAUCUUAAAGAUAAUUAAA